rnacentral:rRNA from 1 species
AGAGAACGCUGGCGGUAGGCCUAACAAAUGCAAGUCGAACGGCAGCACAGGAGAGCUUGCUCUCUGGGUGGCGAGUGGCGGACGGGUGAGGAAUACAUCGGAAUCUACUUUUUCGUGGGGGAUAACGUAGGGAAACUUACGCUAAUACCGCAUACGACCUACGGGUGAAAGCAGGGGACCUUCGGGCCUUGCGCGAUUGAAUGAGCCGAUGUCGGAUUAGCUAGUUGGCGGGGUAAAGGCCCACCAAGGCGACGAUCCGUAGCUGGUCUGAGAGGAUGAUCAGCCACACUGGAAGUGAGACACGGUCCAGACUCCUACGGGAGGCCGCAGUGGGGAAUAUUAGACAAUGGGCGCAAGCCUGAUCCAGCCAUACCGCGUGGGUGAAGAAGGCCUUCGGGUUGUAAAGCCCUUUUGUUGGGAAAGAAAUCCAGCUGGCUAAUACCCGGUUGGGAUGACGGUACCCAAAGAAUAAGCACCGGCUAACUUCGUGCCAGCCGCCGCGGUAA